GCGUCCAAUGUGGGGAGGGAGGCGUCAUCGGCGGCCCGCCAAUCUCGGGACAAGGAGGAGGUGGAUGUGUUGGGGGAGGCAUGGAUAUCGGUCGAGUGAAGAGGUCUGAGCCCCCCGUGGCUGACCAGGUGGAGCUGAUGCGCCAGUGACGCUCGGCUGCCUCUCUGCAUGUCCAGGACUGGAAGUGGUGGUGACACCCGUGUCCUGGCCCCCUCCAGCGGCAUGAGGAGAUGAUCAUCCCUGGAGGACCCCCCUGAUCCCCUGGGUGCCCUGGCAAUUUCCCUGCAAGAAUCAAUAAACCCCUGCAGCAAAACAAA